rnacentral:rRNA from 1 species
GGGCACCUGAUCCAUCCAUGCCGCGUGCGGGAAGAAGGCCUUCGGGUUGUAAACCGCUUUUGUUCGGGAAGAAAUCGUUCUCGCUAAUACCGAGGGCGGAUGACGGUACCGGAAGAAUAAGCACCGGCUAACUACGUGCCAGCAGCCGCGGUAAUACGUAGGGUGCAAGCGUUAAUCGGAAUUACUGGGCGUAAAGCGUGCGCAGGCGGUUUCGCAAGUCAGAUGUGAAAGCCCCGGGCUUAACCUGGGAACUGCAUUUGAAACUACGAGGCUAGAGUGUGUCAGAGGGGGGUAGAAUUCCACGUGUAGCAGUGAAAUGCGUAGAGAUGUGGAGGAAUACCGAUGGCGAGGGCAGCCCCCUGGGAUAACACUGACGCUCAUGCACGAAAGCGUGGGGAGCAAACAGGAUUAGAUACCCUGGUAGUCCACGCCCUAAACGAUGUCAACUAGUUGUCGGGGGAGCAAUUCCUUGGUAACGCAGCUAACGCGUGAAGUUGACCGACUGGGGAGUACGGUCGCAAGAUUAAGACUCAAAGGAAUCGACGGGGACCCGUACAAGCG